UGGGGAAUUUUGGACAAUGGGGGAAACCCUGAUCCAGCCAUCCCGCGUGUGCGAUGAAGGCCUUCGGGUUGUAAAGCACUUUUGGCAGGAAAGAAACGUCAUGGGUCAAUACCCCGUGAAACUGAUGGCAUCUGCAGAAUAAGCACCGGCUAACUACGUGCCAGCAGCCGCGGUAAUACGUAUGGUGCAAGCGUUAAUCGGAAUUACUGGGCGUAAAGCGUGCGCAGGCGGCUCGGGAAGAAGGAUGUGAAAUCCCAGGGCUCAACUUUGGAACUGCAUUUUUAACUACCGGGCUAGAGUGUGUCAGAGGGAGGUGGAAUUCCGCGUGUAGCAGUGAAAUGCGUAGAUAUGCGGAGGAACACCGAUGGCGAAGGCGGCCUCCUGGGAUAACACUGACGCUCAUGCACGAAAGCGUGGGGAGCAAACAGG
rnacentral:rRNA from 1 species